CGAAGGAUCCAAGCGUUAUCCGGAUUCAUUGGGUUUAAAGGGUGCGUAGGCGGGUUUAUAAGUCAGUGGUGAAAGCCGAUCGCUUAACGAUCGAACUGCCAUUGAUACUGUAGACCUAGAGUACAGAUGAUGUUGGCGGAAUAUGACAUGUAGCGGUGAAAUGCAUAGAUAUGUCAUAGAACACCGAUUGCGAAGGCAGCUGACAAAACUGUAACUGACGCUGAUGCACGAAAGUGCGGGGAUCAAACAGGAUUAGAUACCCUGGUAGUCCGCACAGUAAACGAUGAUAACUAGUUGUUUGCGAUAUACAGUAAGCGACCAAGCGAAAGCGAUAAGUUAUCCACCUGGGGAGUACGCUCGCAAGAGUG
rnacentral:rRNA from 1 species